UUUUAUUUGAGAGUUUGAUCCUGGCUCAGGAUGAACGCUGGCGGCGUGCCUAACACAUGCAAGUUGAGCGAUUUACUUCGGUAAAGAGCGGCGGACGGGUGAGUAACGCGUGGGUAACCUACCCUGUACACACGGAUAACAUACCGAAAGGUAUGCUAAUACGGGAUAAUAUAUUUGAGAGGCAUCUCUUGAAUAUCAAAGGUGAGCCAGUACAGGAUGGACCCGCGUCUGAUUAGCUAGUUGGUAAGGUAACGGCUUACCAAGGCGACGAUCAGUAGCCGACCUGAGAGGGUGAUCGGCCACAUUGGAACUGAGACACGGUCCAAACUCCUACGGGAGGCAGCAGUGGGGAAUAUUGCACAAUGGGCGAAAG
rnacentral:rRNA from 1 species